CAUGGAGAGCAUCAGAGGAGGAGGCCACAGGUGCAGGCUGUUAGACACAAUCAACAACCACCACAUAAAAGAGAACAAAGAAACCUGAACAAGAACCCAGCAGGGGAGGUGAGCAGACACAGAUUGCUGGAUCUCCCACAGCCCAGACUUUGGACAAACUCUUGAGGCCAGAAGCUUAGUGGGAAUGGCUCGUCUGCAGGGAGAUGUGGAAACCGCACCCAGGAAGAAACAUUAAUUUGCCAUCACCCAGUGAUGAUCCAGUGGCCAGAUAUACAUGUCUGGAGAGAACCGUUGUGUCUGAUGCCUGAUUGCUUGUCACCUCAAGUCACUGGUUAUAUGAACUAUACAUCCAUAUGCAGAGGUUUUGUUUCAGCCAAUCCAAAUCCAUUUUACCUAUGCAUUGACGCAAUUAGUAACCCCUGUUAGAGUAUAAUUGCUGGUGUUUUUAGUGUGUACAGACACUUGACUGCUGUACCGACUGUUUUUAAAGCUCUCGUGAAUGGGGGGUUUCAAGCUCAAUUUGCAGAAUGCUCAGCUAGCAUGACUGGAGGAUGCAUACUUUGGAAAGAUUGUAGGAGUUCAUGGCAGACGCAUCACCUCGGAAAGGAUCAAGGCCAUCAUCAAUAUUCCUAAGCCCAACAUCAUCACUGGUCUAAGGCAAGUAAUGGGACUUUUGAAUUACUGCUGCCAGUAUAUGUCUGAAUACACUGAACUGUCUGAGCCCCUCACAGAAGCGAAGGAAGAAGUGAGGAAAACCCGGAAUGGAGCUCAUGGAGGAUGCUUUUUUUUGAAGUAUCAAAAAGACCCUUUCUUCCUGUCCUGCUCUUAGAAAUGCAGAUGCCAACAGGCCCUUUCACCUGUGAACCUGGGUGGGGAACAAGUCCUACUUCGCUGACCUGGGCCAGCAUGUUCAUGGAAGGACGUCCUACAAAAAUAGUGGGAUACUGCUCUACACCGAUUCCUGCCUCCAUGGCAGGGCAACAUCUGUGUUUGCCGAUUUGAGACUGAGAUGCUGAAGAUACUGAACCUCUGCCGAAUGCCAUGAAAGUGUUGACUGUUCCAGCUUCAAUGAAAAUUGUAAAUGCAUUACAGGCUGUGCAGUUGUGAAUGAACAUGCAGGUCAUUGAACUCAUGGAGGCAUGUACUCUUCCCGCAGCAGGAGCUGUCAUCAAGGUCAUGGUCAUUGGAGGCAAAGUAAUACUAGGCUGCCGACACUGCUGCCAAGGGGCUGCAAAACCGACAGAAAAACUUGGGAGUGUCUCUUUCUCCACAGGAGUAGGUGCACAAAAUUAGGGGCACAAAAUAAUUCAGAUGGAAUAUGGAAAUUUAAUGAUCAUUUUAUGUGUUCCUCAGCUGCUUGCACUGAGUUAAUCUUGGUAUCAUUGUUUGGCACAUGCAGGUCCUGAAAAGCUACAUGCAAUGAUUAAAAAAAAAAAAAAAUGGUGGAUGAGAAAUGUUUGUGCUGAAUUUUUGUAAAAUAUGCUUUUGUGUGUCUCAAAGUAAACUCCCCUUCCAAGCUAAAGAUUCUUUUGGGACAUGUCCCUUGCCCCCAGAGUCCCUGGACACAUUUGCAAAUUGAUUUUGUAGGCCCAUUGGCACCUAGUGAACAUUUCACAUACGUUCUAAUGAGUCUAGAUGGGUGGAGGCCUUUCCGCUGAGAAGUUGCACAACAGAUGCAACAGUUAAACUUUGCUUAAGUAUUUCCGGACAUGGACUGCCUUCGUGAAUCGAUUCAAGCCAAGGUACACACUUCACAGUGAAAGCCAUGAAACAGGCCAUGAAAUUGAUGGGGGUAACAGUACUUUCACAUUGCUAUUAGACCUCAGUCUAGUGGCUCAGUUAAAC